rnacentral:rRNA from 1 species
UGGAGUAAAAGGCUAUGGNUCAACCAUAGUGUGCUCUGGAAACUGUCUGACUUGAGUGCAGAAGGGGAGAGUGGAAUUCCAUGUGUAGCGGUGAAAUACGUAGAUAUAUGGAGGANCACCAGUGGCGAAAGCGGCUCUCUGGUCUGUCACUGACGCUGAGGCUCGAAAGCGUGGGUAGCGAACAGGAUUAGAUACCCUGGUAGUCCACGCCGUAAACGAUGAGUGCUGGGUGUUAGGCCCUUUCCGGGGCUUAGUGCCGGAGCUAACGCAAUAAGCACUCCGCCUGGGGAGUACGACCGCAAGGUUGAAACUCAAAGGAAUUGACGGGGGCCCGCACAAGCGGUGGAGCAUGUGGUUUAAUUCGAAGCAACGCGAAGAACCUUACCAGGUCUUGACAUCCCGAUGCUAUUCUUAGAGAUAGGAAGUUACUUCGGUACAUCGGAGACAGGUGGUGCAUGGUUGUCGUCAGCUCGUGUCGUGAGAUGUUGGGUUAAGUCCCGCAACGAGCGCAACCCUUAUUGUUAGUUGCCAUCAUUAAGUUGGGCACUCUAGCGAGACUGCCGGUAAUAAACCGGAGGAAGGUGGGGAUGACGUCAAAUCAUCAUGCCCCUUAUGACCUGGGCUACACACGUGCUACAAUGGUCGGUACAACGAGUUGCGAGCCGGUGACGGCAAGCUAAUCUCUGAAAGCCGAUCUCAGUUCGGAUUGGAGGCUGCAACUCGCCUCCAUGAAGUCGGAAUCGCUAGUAAUCGCGGAUCAGCACGCCGCGGUGAAUACGUUCCCGGGCCUUGUACACACCGCCCGUCACACCACGAGAGUUUGUAACACCCGAAGUCGGUGAGGUAACCUUUUAGGGGCCAGCCGC